CUGUUAAGUGGGGGCAACAUAAUAUGACUUAUCUCUUUAUAACUUUUUUUUUUGUAUGAAUUGAGUAACAGGUAAAAAGAAGAUCAGUUACAUAGAUUUGACAUUCGAGUGUGAUCACUUACUUCAGGACAUUUCAAUAAUAAAUAUAAGAUUCUCUAUUUUAUGAUCUAAAAACAGCAACAUUUAAAGAAAGAUAUAGGUCCCACUUGGAUU